rnacentral:rRNA from 1 species
AGAGUUUGAUCCUGGCUCAGAGUGAACGCUGGCGGUAGGCCUAACACAUGCAAGUCGAACGGCAGCACAGGAGAGCUUGCUCUCUGGGUGGCGAGUGGCGGACGGGUGAGGAAUACAUCGGAAUCUACUCUGUCGUGGGGGAUAACGUAGGGAAACUUACGCUAAUACCGCAUACGACCUACGGGUGAAAGCAGGGGACCUUCGGGCCUUGCGCGAUUGAAUGAGCCGAUGUCGGAUUAGCUAGUUGGCGGGGUAAAGGCCCACCAAGGCGACGAUCCGUAGCUGGUCUGAGAGGAUGAUCAGCCACACUGGAACUGAGACACGGUCCAGACUCCUACGGGAGGCAGCAGUGGGGAAUAUUGGACAAUGGGCGCAAGCCUGAUCCAGCCAUACCGCGUGGGUGAAGAAGGCCUUCGGGUUGUAAAGCCCUUUUGUUGGGAAAGAAAUCCAGCUGGCUAAUACCCGGUUGGGAUGACGGUACCCAAAGAAUAAGCAC